GGUUAAAACUCAAAUGAAUUGACGGGGGCCCGCACAAGCGGUGGAGCAUGUGGUUUAAUUCGAUGCAACGCGAAGAACCUUACCUGGUCUUGACAUCCACGGAAGUUUUCAGAGAUGAGAAUGUGCCUUCGGGAACCGUGAGACAGGUGCUGCAUGGCUGUCGUCAGCUCGUGUUGUGAAAUGUUGGGUUAAGUCCCGCAACGAGCGCAACCCUUAUCCUUUGUUGCCAGCGGUCCGGCCGGGAACUCAAAGGAGACUGCCAGUGAUAAACUGGAGGAAGGUGGGGAUGACGUCAAGUCAUCAUGGCCCUUACGACCAGGGCUACACACGUGCUACAAUGGCGCAUACAAAGAGAAGCGACCUCGCGAGAGCAAGCGGACCUCAUAAAGUGCGUCGUAGUCCGGAUUGGAGUCUGCAACUCGACUCCAUGAAGUCGGAAUCGCUAGUAAUCGUGGAUCAGAAUGCCACGGUGAAUACGUUCCCGGGCCUUGUACACACCGCCCGUCACACCAUGGGAGUGGGUUGCAAAAGAAGUAGGUAGCUUAACCUUCGGGAGGGCGCUUACCACUUUGUGAUUCAUGACUGGGGUGAAGUCGUAACAAGGUAACCGUAGGGGAACCUGCGGUUGGAUCAC
rnacentral:rRNA from 1 species